UCUCCAAAAUAAAUUUGUUAUGGCUGAGAAGUGUGCAUUCCAUCAAUCAUCUGUAUCCUUUUUGGGUUUUGUCAUUGCUCCUGGCAGGAUUAACAUGGAUCCCUCUAAGGUGGCAGCAGUCUUGGAGUGGCCUGACCCAUCCAGUUUGAAGGAGCUUCAACGGUUUCUUGGGUUUGCCAAUUUUUAUCGGCGUUUUAUCAAGGAUUAUAGUUCUGUGGCUGCCCCUCUUCAUCAACUCAAUUCAACAAGGACUCAGUUCAAGUGGUCAUCAGAGGCCAAACAAGCCUUUGGUAAGCUAAAACGUCUCUUCACCUCAGCUCCCAUUCCGCAUUUUCCAGAUGCAUCUAACCCGUUUGUAGUGGAGGUUGAUGCCUCGGACAAUGGGGUCGGCACAGUCCUGUCUCAACGGUUUGCAGAUGAUGCCAGGUUACAUCCUUGUGCCUUUUUUUUUCUCGCUGGCUCUCUGCCUCCGAAAGAAACUAUGACGUUGGUGACAGAGAACUGUUGGCUAUCAAACUAGCAUUGGAGGAAUGGAGGCACUGGCUGGAGGGGUCCACACAUCCUUUUACUGUGUGGACAGACCAUAAGAACCUGGAAUACCUCAAAUCUGCCAAGAGACUGAACCCACGCUAAGCUAGAUGGGCACUGUUCUUUAGCAGAUUUGACUUCACCCUGGCCUAUCGACCUGGCAGCAAGAACAUCAAACCAGAUGCCCUUUCUAGACUUCAUCAGCCUUCUGUCUGUCCUUCUGAUUAUGUUGACCAUGGCUACAUCCUUCCCUCCAAGACCAGGCUAGCUCUUACCAGUAUUGAGAGCUUGCUCAAGAGGAGUCAUCAGAGACAACCACCUCCAGUUCAGUGUCCUAAAGGUCUUCUGUUUGUUCCUGAAGAAAUGGUGUCUAAAGUCCUUCAGUUCUGUCAUGGCUCUAAACUUUUAUGUCACCCAGGUAUAACAAGGACUCUAGCAGUGGUCAAGUCUGGAUUCUGGUGCCCCACACUCAGAAAGGACACGCAAGAGUUUGUGUCAGCGUGUGCCACCUGUUCCAGAGUAAAGCCCUCCAGCCGGUCUACUGAGGCCUCUACCUAUUCCACAUCGACCAUGGUCCCACAUCUCAAUGGAUUUUGUCACCGGCCUACCUCCCUCUCAAGGUAACACUGUACUCCUCACUGUGGUUGACAGGAUCUCCAAGAUGAUCCAUCUCAUUCCUCUCCGCAAAUUGCCCUCAGCACCUGUUCUCGCUAAUGUAAUGGCCCGAGAAGUGUUCAGACUUCAUGGCAUUUCCAGCAACAUCGUUUCUGAUAGAGGACCACAAUUCAUUUCCCGUUUCUGGGGUGAGUUUUGCACCCUUCUUGGCAUUGACGUCCGUCUCUCUUCAGGUUUUCACCCUCAGACGGAUGGCCAGACAGAGAGGAUUAAUCAGGAGGUUGAGUCCAAAUUGCGCAUCCUAUGCAUGGAUGUUCCCAGUUGCUGGUCCCAGAACUUACCAUGGGUAGAGUACGCCAUCAAUGGAUUACCGUCAAGUGCCACAGGCCUGUCACCAUUUCAUAUUGUUUAUGGCUAUCAACCGCCUAUUCUCUCUGUUCAAGAGGGCGCUACCCAGGUUCCUGCUACCCACUUAACAGCACGUUGUCUCAGAGUCUGGAGAAAGGCCAGAGCGACUUACUGCAAGACCUCUGCUGUCAAUGCCCGUAAUGCCAAUUGUCACACAUCCCAAGCCCCAAGAUACCUGGUGGGUCAGAAGGUGUGGUUAUCCACUAAGGAUGUGCCCAUCAAGGUAGAGAAUCGCAAGUUGGCACCCCGUUUUAUGUGCCCGUUUCCUGUUGCCAAGGUAAUUAACCCAGUAGAUAUGCGUCUCAAUCAGCCUUCUUCAUUGCGUGUGCACCCCACCUUCCAUAUCUCCAAGGUCAAACCUGUGAGGUCAUCCAGGUUUUGCCCUCCAUCCAGACCCCCUCCACCCCCCUGACUCGUUGAUGGAGCCCCUGCCUUCACUGUGAGACGCUUGCUACGCUCCCGACGUUGGGGCCGUGGUAUCCAAUACCUUGUGGACUGGAAGGGCUAUGGUACUGAGGAGAGGUCCUGGAUACCUUCUCGCCUGAUCCUGGAUAAGGGCCACAUCCGCAACUUUCAUCGCCGGCAUCCGGACCAGCCCAGAGGGGCGUCCAGGGCCGCCCCUUGAGAAGGAGGUGAUGUCAUGAUUCCAGCCCUUCAGCUCUACCUUGACUGUGUUGAUUACUCUUUACCUUCACCUGUGCUGGGCACUGGGCUGCUCCCUACUUCAACAGCUGCUCGUCACCAGCUCAGUGCGAGAUUGUCUGUUGCCCCAGUCACAGCUUUCAAGCCUUGUUUCAUGUUCCAAAGGAGUUUUCUAGUUUUCUGAUCCUGUCAGUUUUUUGACCACAGAUUUUUGCCAAGUCCUUCUGCUGUUUGGAAUAGUUCGGACCUCCGUUGCUGAAACCUCUCUGACUCUGUCUUCUGAUUACUGGACUUUCAUUGCCUGAGGCUCUCGCGUGCAUUACCCCGGAUUGUUUCACGACUCAGCAUCUGGUUGGUGGAUUUUGUCCCUGUCGUCUGUUUGUCCCCGGAGCCCCAAGACCUCCCGUUGUCCAUUCCCCCCACCCUUGCCGGCUGGAUACCGGCCCCCUGUGGACCCUCCAUUCCUGACCUACCAGUUUGACCACACCCUGUGGAGCCCUUUCUACCCUAUUAUUUUUUUAAUAAAUAUUUUGGUGAACCACCCUCUUGUUUGGCUGUGUUUUGGGAUCUGGCUGAUUUUGCUUUAACGUUACAGUAUUAAUGUAAUUUGCAAAAUGACUCCAUAGAAAUGGAGCUAACCUUUAUUUUUAUUUUUCUAUCUUUGUACUCGUUCUGAUAAUUCUUCAUGGAAAUCCUUCAUUGUUGUUUAUGAGCCGCACUCUCUUGUAAAGGUGCAGUAUUCUUACACAUAGCACAAAAACCGCCAGACGUUCAGCAGGGCCAGAAGGAUCUCUUUUCUGUCGUAUGGAUUCCAUCUUCAGCUUGUCACUUUUGCUCCUGUUUGUCGGCUGUUUGGCCUCAGGUGCUGCACAGACAGGUGAGUACACCCGUUGUGGUCAAUGGAAAUUUGAAAUUAGAAAGUGGCUUCGAACUGAUGUCUUUUCUUUCACCUCUGGAUGGGACAGAUUCUUCAACCAUGACUCCUACUCAGACAUUUAAGGCAGCACCAAUCCUGCCUUCUGCAAAGUCCUCAGACUGGGUAAUAAUAUUCCUUCAAACAGCUAUAAAAUCCCACCAUGAGUUGAAUGAAACUAUGCUUGCUCAAGUCUUAAAGACGUUUCAGGGACUCAUCCAGGGGCUUCAACCACACACUGAGUUCAGUCUGAUGCUGAAGAACACCACCAAAGUCUGAAAUGCACCAUUUUCUCUGAUUGCUCUUUUUUCAUAUAGAAAUUAACUAAAAAAACUAUCUGUAGCACUCCUAUCAAGCUGAGGAUUCAGCAUUUCUGUCUAAUGUGCUUAUGUACAUUUAUUCACUCAUAAUUAAAUCUGUCAUGUUUUAGCUGUAAAAUGAAUUGCUGCAAAUUAAAUGAAAGUUUAUCUCUGUACUUUCCUGUCAUA